CUCAAUUGUCAAAAAGAAUAUGAAAAUGUUAAUAAAGUAAAUUUUAGAGUUCUAAGAACUUAUCCAAAUGAUUCUAUGAAGCUUGUUUUCAAGAAAGACUAUCGAUGCCAUCGCAAUACUCAGGCUAAUUUGCCUUCAUCAAAGACAAAAAAUCCGUCAUCUAAACAUGUUAACUGUCAGGCAUUCUUAAGAAUUACAGUGAAACAAUCAAGUAUGAAAAGGUAAAGUCUAUUUGCUAAUCUGAGACACAACUACUGUCUAGUGACGUUGGUAAUUUUUUUUGAGAAGUUGGUUGCUAGACGUAACUGGAAAAGACUACACAACCAAACAUAACUACUCAUAGCCAAUAUUAUUAUUAACAGUAAACAGGCAUAAAUAACAUAACAUACACCAUACACCAAUCAAUAAUUAUUUAUUUACACCUUUAUAAUGUAUUGAUAACAGAUGAGAGAAGUAUUUAUUGUACAAAAUAAAAAUAUUUUAUAGAAAUAAAUUCCACAAAAUUUUA